AUUGAACGCUGGCGGCAGGCCUAACACAUGCAAGUCGAGCGAGCGGCGGACGGGUGAGUAAUGUAUGGGGACUGCCCGCUAGAGGGGGCUAACUACUGGAAACGGUAGCUACUACCGCAUACUAUCGGAUAACCCAUAUGGGAUUAGCUAGUAGGUGCGGUAAUGGCUCACCUAGGCGACGAUCCCUAGCUGGUCUGAGAGGAUGAUCAGCCACACUGGUACGGAGACACGGCCCAGACUCCUACGGAGGCAGCAGUGGGGAAUAUUGCACAAUGGGCGCAAGCCUGAUGCAGCCAUGCCGCGUGUAUGAAGAAGGCCCUAGGGUUGUAAAGGACUUUCAGUCGGGAGGCGUUACCGACAGAAGAAGCACCGGCUAACUCCGUGCCAGCAGCCGCGGUAAUUC
rnacentral:rRNA from 1 species